UUUACAUCAUCCAAGUAGAGGAAUAGUCGAUUUGCAAGGUCUGAAAAGGGUAAAAAAAAUUGAAGAUAUUGUUUUAGAUAAUCAUAUUUUUUGGAAGGGCGUUUCUAUGUGCUUGAAGGCUGCGGUACCUCUCAUUAAAGUACUUAGAUUGGUGGAUUCGGAUGAGCAUCCGGCGAUGGGAUUCAUUUACGAGGCAAUGGAUCGUGCGAAAGAGGAAAUUCAAAGCAAUUUCAAUAAUGUUUUCACAUGCUAUGAUCCUAUAUGGACCAUCAUUGAUAGAAGAUAGGAAUCCCAACUCCAUCACCCAUUGCAUGCUGCAGCAUACUUCUUGAACCCUCAGUUUCAUUACAGUCCUAAUUUUCAGCCCGAUGCGAAGGUUAAAAUUGGGCUGUACAAAUGUCUUGAAAGAAUGGUUCCUGAUGUUAAUGAGAGGGUGAAGAUAGAUUUGCAAAUUGAUGCAUUCAAGAGUGCAAGAGGGCUCUUUGGCAUACAAAAUGCAAUCAUGACUAGGAAAAAGAAAUCUCCAGCUGAUUGGUGGGACUCUUUUGGUGAUGAAUGCCCUGAGUUGAAGAGGUUUGCAAUUAGGUUAUUAAGUUAAACA